GCCUGGGUGGCUCAGUCGGUAAGCGUCCGACUUCAGCUCAGAUGAUCUCACGGUUUGUGGGUUUGAGUCCCAUAUUGGGCU
rnacentral:tRNA from 1 species